GGACUACCAGGGUAUCUAAUCCCGUUCGCUCCCCUGGCUUUCGCGUCUCAGCGUCAGUAGGCGUCCAGGACCUCGCUUUCGCCACGGGCGUUCCUUCCGAUCUCAACGCAUUUCACCGCUCCACCGGAAGUUCCAGGUCCCCCUACGCCCCUCCAGGCAGGCCGUAUCCGCGCCCGUUCCCCGGUUGAGCCGGGGGAUUUCAGCGACGGACGUACCUUCCCGCCUACACGCGCUUUAAGCCCAGUGAUUCCGAAUAACGUUCGCACGGUUCGUCUUACCGCGGCUGCUGGCAC
rnacentral:rRNA from 1 species